GACGAACGCUGGCGGCGUGCUUAACACAUGCAAGUCGAACGGAAAGGCCCUGCUUUUGUGGGGUGCUCGAGUGGCGAACGGGUGAGUAACACGUGAGUAACCUGCCCUUGGCUUUGGGAUAACUUCAGGAAACUGGGGCUAAUACCGGAUAGGAGCUCCUGCUGCAUGGUGGGGUUUGGAAAGUUUCGGCGGUUGGGGAUGGACUCGCGGCUUAUCAGCUUGUUGGUUGGGUAGUGGCUUACCCAGGCUUUGACGGGUAGCCGGCCUGAGAGGGUGAACGGCCACCUUGGGACUGAGAUACGGCCCAGACUCCUAUGGGAGGCAGCAGUGGGGAACAUUGCACAAUGGGCGGAAGCCUGAUGCAGAAACGCUGCGUGCGGGAUGACGGCCUUCGGGUUGUAAACCGCUUUAGCCUGUGACGAAGCGUGAGUGACGGUAAUGGGUAAAGAAGCACCGGCUAACUACGUG
rnacentral:rRNA from 1 species